rnacentral:rRNA from 1 species
AGGUAGGGUUGCAAUAAAGGCACCAGAUCCCAUUACAUCUUGGAAACUAAGCGGGUUCAUUCCUGCUUAGUACUUGGAUGGAAGACCACCAAUGAAUGCCAGGUACUAUAUUUC